CGGGUGAGUAACGCGUGAGGAACCUGCCUCAAAGAGGGGGACAACAGUUGGAAACGACUGCUAAUACCGCAUAAGUCCACAGGUCGGCAUCGACCAGAGGGAAAAGGAGCAAUCCGCUUUGAGAUGGCCUCGCGUCCGAUUAGCUAGUUGGUGAGGUAAUGGCCCACCAAGGCAACGAUCGGUAGCCGGACUGAGAGGUUGAACGGCCACAUUGGGACUGAGACACGGCCCAG
rnacentral:rRNA from 1 species